rnacentral:rRNA from 1 species
UACGAAGGGAGCUAGCGUUGUUCGGAAUCACUGGGCGUAAAGCGCACGUAGGCGGAUGUGUCAGUCAGGGGUGAAAUCCCGGAGCUCAACUUCGGAACUGCCUCUGAUACAGCACGUCUUGAGUCCGAUAGAGGUGGGUGGAAUUCCUAGUGUAGAGGUGAAAUUCGUAGAUAUUAGGAAGAACACCGGUGGCGAAGGCGGCCCACUGGAUCGGUACUGACGCUGAGGUGCGAAAGCGUGGGGAGCGAACAGG